CACGCGGUAAACGAUGAUUACUGGUUGUUCGCGAUACACUGUGAGCGACUGAGCGAAAGCGUUAAGUAAUCCACCUGGGGAGUACGUUCGCAAGAAUGAAACUCAAAGGAAUUGACGGGGGCCCGCACAAGCGGAGGAACAUGUGGUUUAAUUCGAUGAUACGCGAGGAACCUUACCCGGGUUUGAAUUGCUGAUGGCGGUAUUUGGAGACAGAUACUUCCCUUCGGGGCGUCAGUGAAGGUGC
rnacentral:rRNA from 1 species